GACGUAGGGGGCCAGCGUUGUUCGGAAUUACUGGGCGUAAAGGGUUCGUAGGCGGUGUAGCAAGUCGGGAGUGAAAUCUCUGGGCUUAACCCAGAGGCUGCUUCCGAAACUGCUGUGCUUGAGUGUGGGAGAGGCGCGUGGAAUUGCAGGUGUAGCGGUGAAAUGCGUAGAUAUCUGGAGGAACACCGGUGGCGAAGGCGGCAUUCUGGACUGCAACUGACACUGAGGAACGAAAGCCAGGGGAGCAAACGGG
rnacentral:rRNA from 1 species